AAUAACCUCGGGAAACUGAGUAUAAUUCCCGAUAGAACAUUAUGCCUGGAAUGGUUUAUGUUCCAAAUGAUUUAUCGCCGUAGGAUGGGACUGCGGCCUAUCAGUUUGUUGGUGAGGUAAUGGCCCACCAAGACUAUUACAGGUACGGGCUCUGAGAGGAGUAGCCCGGAGAUGGGUACUGAGACACGGACCCAGGCCCUAUGGGGCGCAGCAGGCGAGAAAACUUUGCAAUGUGCGAAAGCACGACAAGGUUAAUCCGAGUGGUUUCUGCUAAAGGAACCUUUUGUUAGUCCUAGAAACACUAACGAAUAAGGGGUGGGCAAGUUCUGGUGUCAGCCGCCGCGGUAAAACCAGCACCUCAAGUGGUCAGGAUGAUUAUUGGGCCUAAAGCAUCCGUAGCCGGCUCUGUAAGUUUUCGGUUAAAUCUGUACGCUCAACGUACAGGCUGCCGGGAAUACUGCAGAGCUAGGGAGUGGGAGAGGUAGACGGUACUCGGGAGGAAGGGGUAAAAUCCUUUGAUCUCUCGAUGACCACCUGUGGCGAAGGCGGUCUACCAGAACACGUCCGACGGUGAGGGAUGAAAGCUGGGGGAGCAAACCGGAUUAGAUACCCGGGUAGUCCCAGCUGUAAACUAUGCAAACUCAGUGAUGCAUUGACUUGUGGUCAAUGCAGUGCUGCAGGGAAGCCGUUAAGUUUGCCGCCUGGGAAGUAC
rnacentral:rRNA from 1 species